UUCAGCACUUCAGCCAUCAUGCAGAUGGGUUUUCUGCUGCGUUCACAGGUGCAGGCAUGAACGUGUGAGCCUGUGUGCUCGUGUGUGGAGGCAGGCGGUUGUGGCCAGGUCUAUGGCGUUCCAAUGUGAUAGAACUCACAAGGUUUGCUGAAAGUAACUCUGCUGUCAAACCUCAUGCAGCAAGGGUCUGCCUGGGAAUCACCACAAGCUUCUACUUGCCUCCUGAGUGUUGGAAUCACAGAGGAAGGAAGAGCAUUUGCCUCUUGUGGGACUGGAAGCCACUGCUUCCAGUGCUCGGGCUAAUUGAGGCUGCAGGGAGCGUCUCUGACUACACCACGGGGCACGCCCCAAGAAGGGCUGCAUAAAAAGACCAGCCACUGCAGUUCAGGGUGCCGAGGAGGAGGGGCUGUGACACCACCUGGGGCAGAGGACUCUAUUCCCAGGUUGCUGCCUGCCUGCGCUUCUAAUCCCUUGACCCUCCAACCUCCACUCCCCAUCCUGUGCUGAGAUGUUAGCCCAGUGCC